rnacentral:tRNA from 1 species
GUGGCUCAGUGGUUAAGAGCACUCAUUCUCACAGAGGACCUGGGUUCAAUUCCCAGC